GACAGAGGUGCCAAGCGUUAGGCGGAAUCACUGGGCUUAAAGCGUGUGUAGGCGGAUCGUUAAGUACCUUGUGAAAUCCCACGGCUCAACCGUGGAACUGCUCGGUAUACUGGCGGUCUUGAGCCACCUAGGGGCAACUGGAACAAGCGGUGGAGCGGUGAAAUGCGUAGAUAUCUGGAGGAACACCGGUGGCGAAGGCGGCAUCCUGGACCGGCAUUGACGCUGAGGCGCGAAAGCCAGGGGAGCAAACGGGG
rnacentral:rRNA from 1 species